UCUGUAGGUUUUAUGGCACUUCUACUUGCCAGAGUAAAAUGGAAGUAAUAUGGUCUUUGUGUACAUUUACAUUAAUGAAACAGUGCCCUGAAGUCAACCUGCAAACUAUAGAGUUCCUAGGUUCCCUUUACCUCUAUUUUCAUUUCAGCCUGUUUUAAAUCUGCUGUUACAUUUCUACUGAGAUAAAAACAACUGUUUGGAUCUAACAGGUCUGGUAGAAGACGCCAAUCAAAAUAAACUGCUUUCCUGAAACACAGACAGAAAUUAAAGCUAUUCAAGUCCUCAAGUCCCAGCGACUAUCAAGGAAGAGGUGGCAGUGUGACUUUGGAAGGGCCGAUAUUGAGAGCUAAAAUUCACCUCUAAGAAUGCUCUCUGAAUGCUCCUGGGAUGGAUGAAAUGGAGGGAGGAAAGAAGAUUGGUACUACUUCUAAAGCAGAGUUUACAAUUCAAGCUCUAAAUGAGAAAAAAUAAAUAAACUUAAGUAAAUGCAAACACAAGUUGAGGCACAUCCAGUAGUGAACUCUAACUUUGCAUUUAAAGGGAGAAAGAUCUGCAGACGAAGGAGCUCAAAAAUCCCUGGAGCUGAUGGUAAAGAGAAUCUUGGCA